CAGUAGCCGCGGUAAAACGUAGGUGGCAAGCGUUGUCCGGAAUUAUUGGGCGUAAAGGGCUCGCAGGCGGUUUCUUAAGUCUGAUGUGAAAGCCCCCGGCUCAACCGGGGAGGGUCAUUGGAAACUAGGAAACUUGAGUGCAGAAGAGGAGAGUGGAAUUCCACGUGUAGCGGUGAAAUGCGUAGAGAUGUGGAGGAACACCAGUGGCGAAGGCGACUCUCUGGUCUGUAACUGACGCUGAGGAGCGAAAGCGUGGGGAGCGAACAGGAUUAGAUACCCGUGUAGUCCCUGUCUCUUAUAC
rnacentral:rRNA from 1 species